rnacentral:rRNA from 1 species
GAUGAACGCUGGCGGCGUGCCUAAUACAUGCAAGUCGAGCGAACAGACGAUGAGCUUGCUCCUCUGACGUUAGCGGCGGACGGGUGAGUAACACGUGGAUAACCUACCUAUAAGACUGGGAUAACUUCGGGAAACCGGAUCUAAUACCGGAUAAUAUAUUGAACCGCAUGGUUCAAUAGUGAAAGACGGUUUUGCUGUCACUUAUAGAUGGAUCCGCGCCGCAUUAGCUAGUUGGUAAGGUAACGGCUUACCAAGGCAACGAUGCGUAGCCGACCUGAGAGGGGGAUCGGCCACAAUGGAACUGAGACACGGUCCAGACUCCGACGGGAGGCAGAAGUAGGGAAUCUUCCGAAAUGGGCGAAAGCCUGACGGAGCAACGCCGGGUGAGUGAUGAAGGUCUGCGGAUCGUAAAACUCUGUUAUUAGGGAAGAACAAAUGUGUAAGUAACGAUGCACGUCUUGACGGUACCUAAACAGAAAGCCACGGCUAACUACGU